GAUGAACGCUGGCGGCGUGCUUAACACAUGCAAGUCGAACGAGAAAUGUAGACGGAAACCUUCGGGCGGAAGCCUUCAUUUCGAGUGGCGGACGGGUGAGUAACGCGUGGGUAACCUGCCUCAUACAGGGGGAUAACAGUUGGAAACGACUGUUAAUACCGCAUAAGACCACAGCAUCGCAUGAUGCGGGGGUAAAAACUCCGGUGGUAUGAGAUGGACCCGCGUUCGAUUAGCCAGUUGGCGGGGUAACGGCCCACCAAAGCGACGAUCGAUAGCCGAUCUGAGAGGAUGACCGGCCACAUUGGGACUGAGACACGGCCCAAACUCCUACGGGAGGCAGCAGUGGGGAAUAUUGCACAAUGGGGGAAACCCUGAUGCAGCGACGCCGCGUGAGUGAAGAAGUACUUCGGUAUGUAAAGCCCUAUCAGCAGGGAAGAAAAUGACGGUACCUGAGGAAGAAGCCCCGGCUAACUACGUG
rnacentral:rRNA from 1 species